CCUACGGGGAGGCAGCAGUGGGGAAUAUUGGACAAUGGGCGCAAGCCUGAUCCAGCCAUACCGCGUGAGUGAAGAAGGCCUUCGGGUUGUAAAGCCCUUUUGUUGGGAAAGAAAUCCAGCUGGAUAAUACCCGGUUGGGAUGACGGUACCCAAAGAAUAAGCCCCGGCUAACUUCGUGCCAGCAGCCGCGGUAAUACGAAGGGGGCAAGCGUUAUUCGGAAUUAUUGGGCGUAAAGCGCGCGUAGGUGGUCGUUUAAGUCCGUUGUGAAAGCCCUGGGCUCAACCUGGGAACUGCAGUGGAUACUGGGCGACUAGAGUGUGGUAGAGGGUAGCGGAAUUCCUGGUGUAGCAGUGAAAUGCGUAGAGAUCAGGAGGAACACCCAUGGCGAAGGCAGCUACCUGGCCCAUCACUGACACUGAGGCGCGAAAGCGUGGGGAGCAAACAGGAUUAGAUACCCUGGUAGUCCACGCCCUAA
rnacentral:rRNA from 1 species